rnacentral:rRNA from 1 species
GACGAACGCUGGCGGCGUGCUUAACACAUGCAAGUCGAACGGAAAGGCCCUGCUUUUGUGGGGUGCUCGAGUGGCGAACGGGUGAGUAACACGUGAGUAACCUGCCCUUGACUUUGGGAUAACUUCAGGAAACUGGGGCUAAUACCGGAUAGGAGCUCCUGCUGCAUGGUGGGGGGUGGAAAGUUUCGGCGGUUGGGGAUGGACUCGCGGCGUAUCAGCUUGUUGGUGGGGUAGUGGCUUACCAAGGCUUUGACGGGUAGCCGGCCUGAGAGGGUGACCGGCCAAAUUGGGACUGAGAUACGGCCCAGACUCCUACGGGAGGCAGCAGUGGGGAAUAUUGCACAAUGGGCGGACGCCUGAUGCAGCAACGCCGCGUGCGGGAUGACGGCCUUCGGGUUGUAAACCGCUUUCGCCUGUGACGAAGCGUGAGUGACGGUAAUGGGUAAAGAAGCACCGGCUAACUACGUG